rnacentral:lncRNA from 1 species
AAGAAGACCCAGAUUUUGUCCUAGGAAAUGAAAGGAAGAAAAUGCAGUGAGAAAUGGCAAAAGACAUUAUCCCACAGUAAAAUGGAACAGUCAAGACUUUCUAGGAGUCGUCAGAACAGUAUCUUGGACAUCAUAGUCGAGAUAUGUUAGCAAUGGAAUGACAUCCCUAGCUAAAGACAUUAUCCCACAGUAAAAUGGAACAGUCAAGACUUUCUAGGAGUCGUCAGAACAGUAUCUUGGACAUCAUAGUCGAGAUAUGUUAGCAAUGGAAUGACAUCCCUAGCUAAAUCUCAAGAUUUUUCAGGAUGCUAGAGCAGUAUAAAGAAAAUCUGGCAUGAGACUCUUCAUAUCGAUGAAGCAGCAUCUCAACAGUAGAAGUGAGAUU